UCAGACGAUGCGUCAUGCAUAUCAAUAAGCGGAGGAAAAGAAACUAACAAGGAUUCCCUUAGUAACGGCGAGUGAAGCGGGAAGAGCUCAAAUUUGAAAUCUUCAAGGUUUUACCUUGACGAAUUGUAGUUUAAAGAAGUGUUUUCUGCUGAAGUUUUGGUAAAAGUUCUUUGGAAUAGGACAUCAUAGAGGGUGAGAAUCCCGUAUUUGACCAUUAUUUUCAGCUCUGUGAUACACUUUCAAAGAGUCGGAUUGUUUGGGAAUGCAGUCCAAAAUGGGUGGUAAACUUCAUCUAAAGCUAAAUAUUGGCGAGAGACCGAUAGGCGAACAAGUACCGUGAGGGAAAGAUGAAAAGAACUUUGAAAAGAGAGUUAAACAGUACGUGAAAUUGUCAAAAGGGAAGCGUUUGACACCAGUGUUGUUUUCUCGAAAAUCAAUUAAAAAUGGCUCGAUUUUGUAUUGUUGAGACCUUAAAAGCUCACUGUACAUUUUUCGUGUCUUUUUUAAUGCACUUUUCGUUUAACAAGUCAACAUCAGUUUCUUUUGUUGUAAAAGGGUCAUUGGAAGGUGGCUUUCUUUUCGGAGAAAGUGUUUAUAGCCUUUGGCCUCUGCAAUCGGAGAGACUGAGGUCUGCAGCGUAGACUCUUCGGGGUUAGAUACAUUUGUGCUAAGUUAUAGCUUUUUAUAGACAACUUGUUGACUAUAAUUAGUCUUGUAGCUUACUCGCUUAUGCUAUUUUACCUACGCUUAGGAUGUUGAACUACUGAGACAUAGA
rnacentral:rRNA from 1 species